AGAUGAUUUUAGUGAAUCAACUAUUAUAGUUGAGUCUAUUUUGUCGAGCCUCAUAGAUUCGGUUAUUUGUAGAAAAGAUCGUGUGUCUGUGGAGAACGUGGUUUCUGGGAAACGAGACGGGAAUGUACAUUGCAAUUACAAAUACAUCAAUCCCAGUUAUCCGCCAUUAAUUCAGAAAAUUAUUGCAGCUAGAACACCGCUUGACAACUUGAGUGUGACAAGUCAAACGGAAGUUAUGAUAGAUAUUUUGAAGAAAUCCAAAUAUCAAACAGUU